UCACAUUCUGCUAACAACAAACUCAACACCCAUUUCACAAUUUCCCUCACUGACAUUAUUAAAUUCUUGGUUUUCGUCUUUAUGAAUAUUUGUGGAUAUAUAUAAAAAAAUCUUUUGUGCUUGGUGUUGUUUUAUUUCAUAAAUAAAAUGCAUGCUGAGAAACGUCAUUAAAGCUCUUCUCUUCUCUUCUGGUUUUUUUUUGUUUUUUUUUUAUUUAUUUCACAGCAGUUGUGAGGACGUGGCGUUGGGCUUGAACUUGACCGAUGGAAUUGCCUGGGAAAAGAGGUACGACAUUGGCCCUUUGCUCCUCUCCUUUAUGAAGAGGAGGCUGUUUAGACUGAUGUCAGUGCUCAUUAGCAUAAACCCCAGCCUGUUCCCAAUUAAACCUGGAGAGCAGCAGGAACACCAGUCUCUUUUCACGUGGUGAUGAAUGGACUAACAUCUCUGCACAGGAACGAGACACAGUCUCUGCUGAGGUUCAAGAAGUAAACACCACACACAGGUAUCCUACGUGAAAGGCUUUGUGUGAGACCAGGAGGUCAGCAGGUCAGCCGCCGACUGGGCCGCGAAGAGGCUUCAUUACACUGAAAGAAAAUGAGGAGGAGGAAGAAAAACGAGGAGGAAAGUGGGUGGAAGGAUGGAAAAGAAGAAGGAUAUCAGCUAUUCAAGGAGGUGGUUGGAAGCGGGUGAACCCGGAGCAGGUGAACACAGAUGUGGAUCGCCAUAGGCUCUCUGGCUGCCUUCCUCGUGCGGACCGACUGGUGCACACAGCGGUCCUGGGGAGACGUCAGGGGCCAGCCAACGCUGCUGCAGAGUGGGCACGCCGGGCCAUCCGAGCCAGGAGAAAGGCAGGUGAGGCGGGUGAACCGAGCUCUUACGCCGCCGGCUAGGAGCCUCCACAGAUGAGUGGAGCAGCGCGAAGCAGCAGAAAUCAAUACAGGGGAGAGAGGCUAGCAGAGGUUGGCCAGCACCGCCUGCAGGCCUUGGAGCCCAGGGACCAACCACCACCGCUGCUCCCAGCUCUUCUCCACAUCUCUCUCCAGCAGUGUGAGCAUCAGCCAGGGCCGGGGCCCCAACCUCACAACCACACACACAAUGUGCGUGCCAGGGAGGAAGAGGAAGGCAGGAAGAGUGAGGCAGAGUCUUUGUGUGUGGUUCAGCCAGAGGGGUCUCGCAUCGUCCUGCACUACUUGAUAAAACUUUGUCAGGGAGACGCCGAGGCAGCGAUGGAGAAGAUGAAAAAUGGAGGAAGAAUACACACGUCGACAGCACAUCGAUGAGCUCCUUUCUUUCCGGCUCCCUCCCUCUGAUUAUGUAUUCCACCCUUACUGUUUGAAUGGGAAUCCAUCUGAGGCAAUAACGAGACAUUUGUGUUUAGUCCCACCUUCAAGCACAGAGCCCCUCAAUAUUCAAAAGGUCUCGUGAGCCGCGAUGAAAAGGAGAAAGUUUGACUUUAUCUCCACUCCACUGUAAAAGACUGGACCUGUCUACUUACCUUAGAUUUUCUCACCUUCCCUACAGCAGCUCCCAUCGGAGGAUAUGGCAGUGCAGUAUUGAUCUCCGAGGUGGAAGAGAAGGAGGCAGGUCGGGGCUUUAAAACCCCCCUCUGCGUGCAUGCGUGUGUGUCAGUGUGUGUAGAAACUGCACCUGAAGUCCACUUACUGCCAUGCAGCGGGGGUCCUGCUGCAGUCCAAGUGAAUGGCCGUUAAUUGAAUGAGGAGUAAAAAAAAAAAAAAAAAAAGGACAGUGGUUGCACCUGGUCAGGGUCUCCUUCUCCCACUGCUCAGACCUUCAGAUGAUUUAAAGAAAUGUGACAAAACCAACCAACCUACAUGUCUGAGUGGAGGACCAGGGGGGUUUAAUGCAGAUGAAAUUUCAGCGGAGAAAUCCUGAAACACCAAAUGAGCGUGGAGUCUGCAGGAUCUCGCAGGACAGAGCUGUGGUUUCCCUCACGUCAUACAUAACGAUGGCUCAUACCUUUUGAUGCAGACUGAUGCCACUGUGGAAGUCUGCAGACUAACCUCACGUCAGCUGUAGUUGGUCUACGAGUAUUUGACUCAGUUCCACUGUACACUUCUACAAUACUUCUUUGUACAAAAAUACAGUAUAUUUUGUACCUGUUUUAUUUUCCUGUAAUAAAGAUUUUUAUUUAUGAA